AACCAUCCACAAGCAUUGUCAAGCCUUGGCAACAUAUAUAUACAUGGAUUGGUAAGCUUUAGAAAUGUUUGAUGACAACUGUGCGGAUAGUUUAUUUUUGUUCCUUAAUGAAACUUCUCUUCAUGCAGUAAUAUGAUGAGUGUUGUUGCAUCAUUCUAUAAGGCAAUUUUAGCAGUUACAACAGGGAUAUCUGUGCCCUUCAACAACUUGGCUAUUAUAUACAAGCAACAGAGACUAUGCUUUGCAUCGGAAGUGAAUGGCAUCGUUAUCCUUCUUCAUUUUUUAUGCCUUCGUACAUUAAGGAAGUUCAAUGGAUAAAUGAAGGAUUUAGGGGUCUUCUCCCAUAUCCUUUUAAUUCAAGUUUGGGAGGCAUGACAACUACCCCACCUUAUUUCAAUGACAAGAACAAGGCUUCAAGAUAUCAAACUCUACACCUUCUAUAUGGAGCUAGAUUUGCAAAAGCCAUAUCCAACUCGAGGAAGUGACUUAUUGACAUGGGAGAGAACUUAUUGGUAACCAAGGACUUUGUGAAGAUAGCAAAUUUUGGCCUUGCUCGUGAAGUUCAUUCGAAGCCACCAUUCACAGAAUAGGUUUCAACACGCUGUUUACAAAUCUCAAGUACUCCAGAGUUGAAAUUGAUGAAAUGCAGUUCGAGUGGGCUGA